rnacentral:rRNA from 1 species
AACGAACGCUGGCGGCAGGCCUAAUACAUGCAAGUCGAACGAUAACUUCGGGUCCAGUGGCGCACGUAUGCGUAAGUCGUGGUAAGCUACCCGUUGGUUAGGUACAACAGUUGGAAACGACUGCCAAUGACGGACGAAGACGACAUUCAAAAGAUUUAUCGCCAGAGGCUGAGCCCGCGUAGGACUAGCUAGUUAGUGUGGUAAAGUCGCACCCAGUCGACAGUCCUUAGCUGGCCUGAGCGCAUGAUCGGCGACACUGGGACUGAGACAAGGCCCAGACUCCGACGGGUGGCAGCAGGGGGGAAGAUUGGACAAUGCGCGAAAGCCGCAUCAAGCAAUGCCGCGUGAGUGAUGAAGGCCUUAGGGUUGUAAAGCUCUAUUCACCGGGAUGAAAAUGACAGUACCGGGAGAAUAAGCUCCGGCUAACUCCGUGCCAGCCGCCGCCGUAA